CACACGACGAAGUCAGAAACGCACCAGACGCCGGCCGCCCAUACCUCUCGCCGCUCAGGUGAUCGUGGCCUCGUGCAGUCGCCUGCUCCAUGCCGACAAUCGGCGACUUGCCGUUGCCCAUCUACACGACGACACCGCAACGGAAGCCGAUCACCAAUUCUGGAAUUCCCUCAUUCUAAUUGAUAUCAAGGUUAGAUUUUUAGAACAAUGUGUCAAUGUUUGCUUUUGCAACUUUGGAAUAAGAUAUCGACAUACUGAUGUAAGUCAUUUUCUUCGUAUUGUUAGUUUUCUUUCAGUUCACAAUGAACAUGAUAAUCUUGUGUAGAAUGAAGUGAUUGUGCUCAAGCUUUAGUUUA